rnacentral:rRNA from 1 species
AACCGAGAACUCCUACGGGAGGCAGCAGUGGGGAAUUUUGGACAAUGGGCGCAAGCCUGAUCCAGCAAUGCCGCGUGAGUGAAGAAGGCCUUCGGGUUGUAAAGCUCUUUUGUCAGGGAAGAAACGGUGGGAGCUAAUAUCUCCUGCUAAUGACGGUACCUGAAGAAUAGGCACCGGCUAACUACGUGCCAGCAGCCGCGGUAAUACGUAGGGUGCAAGCGUUAAUCGGAAUUACUGGGCGUAAAGCGUGCGCAGGCGGUUGUGUAAGUCAGAUGUGAAAUCCCCGGGCUCAACCUGGGAAUUGCAUUUGAGACUGCACGGCUAGAGUGUGUCAGAGGGGGGUAGAAUUCCACGUGUAGCAGUGAAAUGCGUAGAUAUGUGGAGGAAUACCGAUGGCGAAGGCAGCCCCCUGGGAUAACACUGACGCUCAUGCACGAAAGCGUGGGGAGCAAACAGGAUUAGAAACCCGUGUAGUCCGACUGAGA